rnacentral:rRNA from 1 species
GAUGAACGCUGGCGGCGUGCCUAAUACAUGCAAGUCGAGCGAACGGACGAGAAGCUUGCUUCUCUGAUGUUAGCGGCGGACGGGUGAGUAACACGUGGAUAACCUACCUAUAAGACUGGGAUAACUUCGGGAAACCGUAGCUAAUACCGGAUAAUAUUUUGAACCGCAUGGUUCAAAAGUGAAAGACGGUCUUGCUGUCACUUAUAGAUGGAUCCGCGCUGCAUUAGCUAGUUGGUAAGGUAACGGCUUACCAAGGCAACGAUGCAUAGCCGACCUGAGAGGGUGAUCGGCCACACUGGAACUGAGACACGGUCCAGACUCCUACGGGAGGCAGCAGUAGGGAAUCUUCCGCAAUGGGCGAAAGCCUGACGGAGCAACGCCGCGUGAGUGAUGAAGGUCUUCGGAUCGUAAAACUCUGUUAUUAGGGAAGACCAUAUGUGUAAGUAACUGUGCACAUCUUGACGGUACCUAAUCAGAAAGCCACGGCUAACUACGUG